UGUCGGCCUACUGCACCGGGAACGUGUUCCCACCGCAGCGCCGAGGGGGAGGAGCCUCGCCAGCAGCGGCCUAUGGCCGGAAAGGCGAAACAUACAGCGUUGGGUGGAGCUUGGUAGGUUUCCGCAGGGAUUCUCGAAGAGGUCAGGCCCG
ncrna:unclassified sequences RT-3 RNA